UACGUAGGGGGCAAGCGUUAUCCGGAUUUACUGGGUGUAAAGGGAGCGUAGACGGUUCUGCAAGUCUGGAGUGAAAGCCCGGGGCUCAACCCCGGGACUGCUUUGGAAACUGUGGAACUGGAGUGCAGGAGAGGUAAGUGGAAUUCCUAGUGUAGCGGUGAAAUGCGUAGAUAUUAGGAGGAACACCAGUGGCGAAGGCGGCUUACUGGACUGUAACUGACGUUGAGGCUCGAAAGCGUGGGGAGCAAACAGG
rnacentral:rRNA from 1 species